AUGCGGGCGGAUGGUGGUGGCCUUGGUUUCCUCUUCAUUUCGGGGAACUGCUUCCAGUUAUGGAAGAGGAAGACGGACUGUGAUGGUGUAGCUUCAUGGGUGCUGGGAAGAACUGUUGCACUAGACAAGCUACUUUCCAUGAAUUCAGAGGAGGGCAGUCAGAGCCCAAGGAUACUCGGUUUUGCUGAGGACAAUAAUGUGGUGUUAUUGUGGGCAUUUAUCGGCGACAUCUUUAUGCUUCAGGUUAAAUCAUUGCAGUUAAAGAAACUUUUUGAAUCCUACCGCAGUUUCUCCUGGCGUCACUAUUAUCCAUUCGAAGGUGUCUAUACUGCAGGUAUCAACAGUUAG
rnacentral:rRNA from 1 species